rnacentral:rRNA from 1 species
GAUGAACGCUGGCGGCGUGCUUAACACAUGCAAGUCGAACGGUGAAGGCGGAGCUUGCUCUGCUGGAUCAGUGGCGAACGGGUGAGUAACACGUGAGCAAUCUGCCCCUGACUCUGGGAUAAGCGCUGGAAACGGCGUCUAAUACUGGAUACGAGCUGCGAAGGCAUCUUCAGCAGCUGGAAAGAAUUUCGGUCAGGGAUGAGCUCGCGGCCUAUCAGCUUGUUGGUGAGGUAACGGCUCACCAAGGCGUCGACGGGUAGCCGGCCUGAGAGGGUGACCGGCCACACUGGGACUGAGACACGGCCCAGACUCCUACGGGAGGCAGCAGUGGGGAAUAUUGCACAAUGGGCGAAAGCCUGAUGCAGCAACGCCGCGUGAGGGACGACGGCCUUCGGGUUGUAAACCUCUUUUAGCAGGGAAGAAGCGAAAGUGACGGUACCUGCAGAAAAAGCGCCGGCUAACUACGUG